GUUCGAAGUAGUACCCGAAAUCCUCAAGGAUAUGACAGGUCUCUUCGGUCACCUAAAGGGAAUGUCAUCUCGUUUGUCAUACUCAGUGACUCGAUUUAUUACUGACUCAUACCAUUGUAAUUAUACCGGAUUCGUUCAUAUGCACCUUGAGUGAUAUAACAAUGACUAUUUAGAAAGGACUUAUGGAUGCUGUACUUUGGGGCUUCCUGGCACCAAUGACGCCUGCUGUGAUCGGCCCGUGGUUUACACCCAUUCGAAGUACGAAAUGGUUGAAAGAUUGCUCGUUGAUGGCGGCCAGAACACGCUGCAGCUCCAACGCGAACUCCACCAAACAUGCCAGACAUUACCUGCAUUUGUCGCGUAGGAUUUAGGCCUGACGCAGCCAUUCGUCGGUGGCGUUGUAUGGCAAACGAAAGGGGUCGCGGUCGAGUGUAGGGCGAGAUGUUAGUACCGCGGGGUGUAGGGCUGCGGGUACAGCAUGAGCCGCCGCUAGUGACCCCAACAAAGCCGCUCGUGCACAUCCACCCAAUGGAGAAACCCACAACGCACCACAUAACGCACCCGCACCCACCUGAUUAUACAGUUAACUUAUUAACAUCUAUAAUUGUGACAUAAUUCUUCUCUUACUGUACCUUAAAUGUUAUUUACAUGAUUUAACAUCUGUUUGAGGGUGUAAUAGUUUGGAAAAAUAAAUCAGUACAUAAUUCCAAUAACAUUAUUUAGAUUAAAAAAAAAAUUAUAUCCAUGUGCCUUCUUGAAUACUUCGAUUAAAUCAAAUGUACAAAUUUUUAGCGAUUGAAUACUCUUUAUUCUAUAUUACAUUGGAUAGGUAAUAUUAAUUAUUAGAUAAUACUCUUUAAGAUUAUAACAGUUAGACUCUAAAAUAGAAAAUCAAGUAUUUUACUGACGUGAUAAUAAUAUGAUGGGUGAAUGCAACGUCGGGCGCCGCUAUGUGAAGGGGCGUCAUCUCUAAGCCCGUCUUCUGCUAGCAUCGUUUCGAAGUUGCCACAUAUAAUCUGUAAAUUUUGCAAAUAGAAUACUUACUAAUUACAA